AUAAAUGCAACUCCCCAAUCAAUUUUUAUAUGAUAAAAAUUAUUUUUAGUCAGAACAACUGCAUUCUAUUCAUAUAAUAAUUCACAUGGAAUUCUUAGCAAGGAAGAUAUUAAUUUAUAUAAAUACAUAAAUUUUUCUUGGCAGUCGAUGAACAAUAAUAUCUUCCAUCAUCGUUUAGAAAACCUGUGAUAACUAGGAUGCAUUCCUUCUGCUAAUCUUUUGAUAGAAUAUUACUGCAUAUGGUUUCUUCCAAGUAAACAGUCUACCCUAUGAGGUUAGUGUAAUAUGUUGUAUGUUCAUAAUAUAAUCUAUGAACAGUCAACGUCAAUGUUCAGGAUAUCUUGGAACCUUUUUGCGAGUUUUGUUACAUCUAUUAACAGUCUACGUCAAUGUUCAGGAGAGAUCUUGGAACCGAGGUAAUGCAGACUCUUUUUGAUGUGUGUAUUACAGUUGCACACAUGCGCAAUGUUCGGAAAGUCAUAUAAACUGCAUUGCAUAAAGGAAUUUUGACAGAUGACAACUUGCCAGUUUGAAGGACAAUUUAACCCUCGAAGCCAUCACUGUGUAGGAGCGAUGAAAUAGUUACAUAGAAUA
rnacentral:lncRNA from 1 species